rnacentral:rRNA from 1 species
GACGGAGGAUGCAAGCGUUAUCCGGAAUUAUUGGGCGUAAAGCGUCCGCAGGUGGCUGUUCAAGUCUGCUGUCAAAGCGCAGAGCUUAACUCUGUAAAGGCGGUGGAAACUGAAUAGCUAGAGUAUGGUAGGGGUAGAGGGAAUUCCCGGUGUAGCGGUGAAAUGCGUAGAUAUCGGGAAGAACACCAGUGGCGAAAGCGCUCUACUGGGCCAAGACUGACACUGAGGGACGAAAGCUAGGGGAGCGAAA